CCUUCUCUUUCAGUUGCCUCAGGUCAGCCAGUCAAAUCAGAGCUCAUGUUCUGGAGGGGUUUCUCCCGGCUGUGUGAAUCUGUAUACCUUGUGGCUGUACGGGUGGCAUUCGUCUCCUUCCAGCCCCUGUGGGAACUAUCAAAACCUGUGACAGUCCAAAAGCUCAGGUGUCUCAUUAAAGAGAGGGGAAACUACGUUCAUGGGACUUCGUCAUCUCUUUCUGUAUGACGCUGGACCGGAUGAUGGAGAAGAGACCUCACUGGACGUUUCACUUCAAGCUAAUCCUUCCUAAUGACACCAGCUAGAGUAGUACAUUUUUCAUGGGGUUUGUGUGAUUUUACAUCAGCUGAGUUAAAUUUAGAAGAGCAUUAUUUGCCAGUCUUUUUUUUUUUAUGCCCCCCUCAAGCACCCCUUUACUGAAAUGCGCUCAUAUUGUCAGCUCAUUUUAUAUUUAAUAUGAUUUCAAAGAAGAAGUCAUUUUCUAAUUUAAUAAAAUUACCGCUGAUAUAUUAGUGGUAAAAAAAAAAAAGGUUUACAUAUAUUCUGGUAUGAGUGUCCACACUAAUU